UAUGUGAUCGUCUCUCGCAUAUCAAUAAGCGGAGGAAAAGAAACUAACAAGGAUUCCCCUAGUAAACGGCGAGUGAAGCGGGAAGAGCUCAAAUUUGAAAUCUUAAAGGGUUUCCCUUUACGAAUUGUAGUUUAAAGAAGUGUUUUCUGUUGAGGUUUUGGUAAAAGUUCUUUGGAAUAGGACAUCAUAGAGGGUGGGAAUCCCGUAUUUGACCUUUACUUUCAACUUUGUGAUACACUUUCAAAGAGUCGGAUUGUUUGGGAAUGCAGUCCAAAAUGGGUGGUAAAUUUCAUCUAAAGCUAAAUAUUGGCGAGAGACCGAUAGCGAACAAGUACCGUGAGGGAAAGAUGAAAAGAACUUUGAAAAGAGAGUUAAACAGUACGUGAAAUUGUCAAAAGGGAAGCGUUUGACACCAGUGUUGUUUUUCUGAAAAUCAAUUAAAGAACUGUUUAUGCUAAGCUGUUUAGACUUUAUCAGCUAUCUGUUUAGUUUUGAGCUUUUCUUUAAUGCACUUUUCAGUUAACAAGUCAACAUCAAUUUCUUUUGCUGUAAAAAAGCUUGAGGAAGGUGGCUUGAGAUUCGUCUUAAGUGUUUAUAGCCUCUUGCCUAUGCAGUCGGAGAGAUUGAGGUCUGCAGCGUAGAUCCUUCGGGGCUAAAUGCAUUUGUGCUAAGUUAUAGCAUUUUAUAGACAACUUGUUGACUAUGAUUUGUCUUGUAGCUUACUCGCUUAUGUUAUUUUACCUACGCUUAGGAUGUUGAGCGCAUGUCUCUCUCU
rnacentral:rRNA from 1 species